AAAGAAAUUUCAUGUAUAUCUAAAAUUUUACAACGUAACUCUGGCAGCUCUGUUGAGACCAGGACAAAAAGGGAGAAGGGACAUCCAUGGACCCACGUGACAGCUGUAAAUGCUCCUGCUCAGAAGUGGCAUCCACUAACACUUCCUUAACCCAAUCAAGGCCAUACCAAACGCUGGUGAAACAGGUUGGAGAAAGAAUGAAGAAAUCAAAAAAAUGAAACCGGUAACUGAUUAACAGGACAUUUGGAAUUACAGCGAAGAUGUAUUCAGAAAACAUUGAAAACUAGAACAUUCCUCAGCUUCAGCAUCAACAUCUGCCAGGGAAUCAGCAGAGGCCAGAAAACUGGCAUAUAAAGAGUUAUGUCUUGUCUCGUGUCACAAAAGGAUCAGGGUGAGAAGUUCUAAAGGAAUGGUGAAUCUACAGUAAAGGUGCUCAAUUUAUUAUGUCCAUCUUGUGUCUGGGCAGACUCCAAACUAAGCAACUUUGUGGUUUUGCUGCACCCUUUUCUGUACCCACACCUGUUACCCCUCUACUCCUGGCUGCCUUUCUGUUUAUUUUAGCCACCAAUAAAACGGUGAUGUAUAAACAUAAUCACUGGCUUCAAACACUACACUGUUUUGGGGAGGAAAGAUGCUCAGG